rnacentral:rRNA from 1 species
ACCUAGUGGCGCACGGGUGAGUAACAUGUGGGAAUCUACCUGAAGGUUCGGAAUAACUGCGGGAAACUGUAGCUAAUACCGGAUGUGUCUGCAAAGAGAAAGAUUUAUCGCCUUCAGAUGAGCCCGCACUAGAUUAGCUAGUUGGUGAGGUAAUUGCUCCACCAAGGCUACGAUCUAUAGCUGAUUUGAGAGGAUGAUCAGCCACACUGGGACUGAGACACGGCCCAGACUCCUACGGGAGGCAGCAGUAGGGAAUAUUGGACAAUGGGGGAAACCCUGAUCCAGCAAUGCCGCGUGAGUGAAGAAGGCCUUCGGGUUGUAAAGCUCUUUCAUCAAUGAUGAUAAUGACAUUAGUUGAAGAAGAAGCCCCGGCUAACUUCGUGCCAGCAGCCGCGGUAAUACGAAGGGGGCUAGCGUUGUUCGGAAUCACUGGGCGUAAAGCGUAUGUAGGCGGAUCAAAAAGUUAGAUGUGAAAUCCCUGGGCUCAACCCAGGAACUGCAUUUAAAACUAGUGAUCUAGAAUUUGGUAGGGGCCAGUAGAAUUUCCAGUGUAGAGGUGAAAUUCGUAGAUAUUGGAAAGAAUACCAGUGGCGAAGGCGACUGGCUGGGCCAUUUUUGACGCUGAGAUACGAAAGCGUGGGUAGCAAACAGGAUUAGAUACCCUGGUAGUCCACGCAGUAAACGAUGAGUGCUAGUCGCUGGGACAAUAGUUUCAGUGUCGAAGCUAACGCAUUAAGCACUCCGCCUGGGAAGUACGGUCGCAAGAUUAAAACUCAAAUAAAUUGACGGGGACCCGCACAAGCGGUGGAGCAUGUGGUUUAAUUCGAAGCAACGCGAAGAACCUUACCAGACCUUGACAUGGUAUGUUUGAAUUACAGAAUCGUAAUUCUUCAGUUCGGCUGGCAUACACACAGGUGCUGCAUGGCUGUCGUCAGCUCGUGUCGUGAGAUGUUGGGUUAAGUCCCGCAACGAGCGCAACCCUCAUUUUUAGUUGCCAUCAGGUUAAGCUGGGCACUCUAAAAAAACUGCCGGUGAUAAGCUGGAGGAAGGCGGGGAUGACGUCAAGUCCUCAUGGCCCUUACGGUCUGGGCUACACACGUGCUACAAUGGUGGUGACAGUGGGCAGCAAUACUGCAAAGUAAAGCUAAUCCCAAAAAACCAUCUCAGUUCGGAUUGGACUCUGCAACUCGAGUCCAUGAAGUUGGAAUCGCUAGUAAUCGUAGAUCAGCGUGCUACGGUGAAUACGUUCUCGGGCCUUGUACACACCGCCCGUCACGCCAUGGGAGUUGGUUUUACCUUAAGCCGGUGCGCUAACCGCAAGGAAGCAGCCGUCCACGGUAGGGUCAGCGACUGGGGCGAAGUCGUAACAAGGUAACCGUAGGGGAACCUGCGGUUG